GAAAAACUGCCAAGACGGGAACUUCAAGGAAGAAGAAACCCAGUGCUUCCGACUUGUUCAAAUUGGACGAUACUUCUUCGUCUGAUGAAGAGGAGGAUACGGGGAACAGUCAAGCAGUUGAAGAAGAGCAACAACAGCUUGAGAACCGGAGGCAAACUCGGGCCACUCAAGACGCCGAACUCUCCUCCGGUUUACCUGAUGU